rnacentral:lncRNA from 1 species
CUAGGCCUCCCUGUUGUAGAACCAACAUCAGUUCCAGCAGCAGCAGUUGCUGGCUUUGGCUUCUUGGAAGUAGGUAGUGCAUUGGGAUCUUUUCUUGGGCGCCCUCUUGGCUUUGGUGGUGCAGAUUCAACAGAUUCUACUGCACCAGGUGGCAAUGGAGCUUUGGGUUUUGGUGGCCUACCCCUACCCCUCUUGGCUGGAACAUCUGGACCAGGUUUAAUGUAAUUAUUCUUGAGGAAAAUAAGGUCUCCAUUUGCCUUCAUGUUGUCCAAAUGUAAAGGUAGCAACUUUGCAACAUCUUGACUCAGAUCUCCAUACUUUGAUUCAAUGUACUUGGCUAUUGCUGACUUGUUUGAGCCCCCUUCUUGAUUUAGUGCAU